rnacentral:rRNA from 1 species
GAUGAACGCUGGCGGCGUGCCUAAUACAUGCAAGUCGAGCGAACAGACGAGGAGCUUGCUCCUCUGACGUUAGCGGCGGACGGGUGAGUAACACGUGGAUAACCUACCUAUAAGACUGGGAUAACUUCGGGAAACCGGAGCUAAUACCGGAUAAUAUAUUGAACCGCAUGGUUCAAUAGUGAAAGACGGUUUUGCUGUCACUUAUAGAUGGAUCCGCGCCGCAUUAGCUAGUUGGUAAGGUAACGGCUUACCAAGGCAACGAUGCGUAGCCGACCUGAGAGGGGGAUCGGGCACACUGGAACUGAGAAACGGGCCAGGCUCCUAAGGGAGGCAGCCGUAGGGAAAUUUCCGGAAUUGGCGAAAGCCUGGCGGGGCAACGGCGCGGGAGGUAUUAAGGUCUUCCGAUUGUAAAACCUUGUUAAUUGGGAAAAAAAAAUGUGGAAGUUACUAUGCACGUCUUGACGGUACCUAAUCAGAAAGCCACGGCUAACUACGUG